UUUGGGUGGUUUGUUCAGCAGCUGUUGCAUUUUUAUUACACGCUGGGUGGAGAGGUUAACAGAAAAGCCAGAACUCCCUUAUUAAGCUCUCAUCAGGAGGUUUCCCACAAUUCCCAGUUCAUUUGACUAAUGAGAUGCAGUGACCUAGAAAUGUGCAAGUAGACACAUUGCCAAGAAAGCCACAGGUUUACAGAAGAAGCUUGCUCACAGUUCACAGUUGAAGUAGUCAUUCAGUUGAAGCAGAAUAAUUAGUGUGGCAGUAGAAUCUCACAGUUCACAGUUACCGUAGCCACUCUGUCACCUUGUCAGGAUAAUUAGUGUGGCAAUAAAAUGUAAGUAUU